rnacentral:tRNA from 3 species
GGGCCGGUAGCUCAGCUGGUCAGAGCAGGGGACUCAUAAUCCCUGGGUCGCGGGUUCAAGUCCCGCCCGGCCUACCC